CACGUAGGGUCCGAGCGUUGUCCGGAAUUACUGGGCGUAAAGCGCGCGCAGGCGGUUAGUCGCAUCGGCGGUGAAAGCCCCCCGCUUAACGGGGGAGGGUCCGUCGAGAUGGACUGACUGGAGGCAGGGAGAGGGCGGUGGAAUUCCGGGUGUAGUGGUGAAAUGCGUAGAGAUCCGGAGGAACACCAGUGGCGAAGGCGGCCGCCUGGACCUGACCUGACGCUGAGGCGCGAAGGCGCGGGGAGCGAACGGGG
rnacentral:rRNA from 1 species